GAUGAACGCUAGCGGCAGGCCUAAUACAUGCAAGUCGAACGGUGUCUUCGGACAUAGUGGCGCACGGGUGCGUAACACGUAUGCAACCUACCUUACAUUGGGGGAUAGCCUUUCGAAAGGGAGAUUAAUACCGCAUAAGACAGUAGCUGGGCAUCCAGCAGCUGUUAAAGAUUUAUCGAUGUAAGCUGGGCAUGCGUCCAAUUAGCUAGUUGGUGAGGUAACGGCUCACCAAGGCAAUGAUUGGUAGGGGAACUGAGAGGUCAAUCCCCCACACAGGCACUGAGAUACGGGCCAGACUCCUACGGGAGGCAGCAGUAGGGAAUAUUGGGCAAUGGACGCAAGUCUUACCCAGCCAUGCCGCGUGCAGGAUGAAGGCGUUAUGCGUUGUAAACUGCUUUUAUACAGGAAGAAACGACUCUUGCGAGAGGCAUUGACGGUACUGUAUGAAUAAGUACCGGCUAACUCCGUGCCAGCCGCCGCCGUAACAC
rnacentral:rRNA from 1 species